ensembl:lncRNA
CUAAAAAUAGAUGCAGAAUUAUUUUUUAUAGUCUCAAUAAAAAAUGUUUACUAAACUUGGGCUAUUGUUGUUUACUUAGAAAAUAUAAUUUUUAAAAUCAACCCUUUCACGCAUAAGUUACAAAUAUUUUAACUGACCCCUUGUUUCCAUGGCGACGCGUCAUGAUUGUCACGUGACACACCGCGGCCACAAUAACUAACAGAUGUAUCGCUAUUCGUUUUAUUUCGUUUUCAUUUUUUAUUAACAAAUAUUCACAAACAUUGACACGCUUACCAUGUCAACUAUUUGAUAUUCCGAUUCUUCGUUUAAAAACCUUUAUAAAUUAUCUUGAUCUAACGAGAUGAGCGCUGCAGUUCAGAGUCCUGUCAGCCGGAUUUAACGUUACAGCCAAACUGUCUCUGGUACAGCACUUGAAUUCCCCAGUUUCUCCCGAAAUACAUGAAACAGGAACAUGCCCCCAAAGCUGCAGGGUUCCCCACGGAGCCAACCUUUACGCUGCUGAAGUCAGAGGUCGUCCGUCCCAGAGGGAAACAGUGGCGACACCCCAGUGCCUGAGGAGACAGAGGCGGUCAGUAGACUAAUGGGGUCUGACUUCAUCAUUAAGAAGGGUUGUCUUUCACUGAUGCCUCCCAGUUGUUUUGGGAUAUGGAUCUCAUGUGCACCUGUCUGAACCGACACUAUUUACCAUUACAACAGAUUUUGCCAUUAGCUUUAACUGCGACGGCACAUGAGACUGUGCCAUUAUUGUGCAUUUUAAUGACAAGUCCAUCCAAGUCUAAAGGGGAACAACUGUUUCUAAGACAGAUUGACAGCAACUUUGGUGAUGUGUAGGAGGAUUCUUGUAAAGAAAAGGUUAGCAUGAAAUGGAUGGAUGAAUGUGUUGAUAUAUGAUCUGAUGAAUGCUGUAACCUUGCCAUGUCUGUUUUCUGACACAACCUCUGCUGGAAAGGGUUAAGGAGUCUCUUCCUUUGUUUUCUCUGACUGAUUAAUGGGGCAAGGCUGCUUGUGUUUGUAACACAUGCAUUUGGCUACUCAUGCCAUAGUCUUUAAAGAUGCCUCUGCAUUUAGCAGGCUUGCCCAGGCUUUGGAAAAUGAUACAUAGAUUAAACACACAUUUUUUUCUAGCAAGAAAAACACUCUCAAGCCCCUAUAGUUGGAGGAGGAAUCAAAACUAACAUAACAGUGAGUGCGCUUCAAAAAAAAAAAAAAAAAAGCCUUGUCUUCCUCCAAACCCUGGAGAAUGCAGACAUAUUUAUGAACAGCUGCUCUUUGAAUCAGAUACAAGUGAAAAAUGAAUUGAACUCAGUUUGCUUUGUGCUGUUUUAUUCUUGGAACAGAUGAUUGGGAGUGUGGGGGACUUUGCCAAGACUACACAAACACAGAUUCAUAUCCUUCAUGCACUCUAUAACUUUGUGCUUGUGGAAGAGAACCAAAUGAGGAUCAAACAUGUAAAAACAAAAAAUAAGUAGGCGUAAAGCAAUAGUGCAAGUUUUUGCACUGUUGUAAGAUGAAGAAAACAGCAAUGAUAUACUUUUUAUAAACUUUAAACAGUAUUUUUUCUUUUUUAAACAAACAAACAAAAAUAUUUCCAUGUGUAUCCUUUUUGCAUUUAUAUGCUGUGGUCUCUUCAAACUGUGAUGUGGUCUCAUUAGCAAAUUUUUUUGUGAUAUUUUGUGGCCAUUGGUUGUGUAGCGAAGAAUCGAGUGACUUUAAUCCAAGCAGCUUUCUGUUAGUCAGUGCAAGAAAUAUGUGUAACACUGUUGCAAAAUCUGUGUGAGGAAAUCUUUCUCACUCACGCAGAAUUCCUGAACUUAUCAAUACAAAUUGAAAUGACUAAAUUUUGACUAUGAAAAAAAUCACUGAACAAUGCACGCAAAUGUUUUCAAAACGUCCUUAUAUCUUAAAAUGAAAUAGUGGCUCAAGUCAAACGAGCCCUCCUCUAAGUCAAGAAAUAGCUCCCAUCCCUCCAUUGGUGUCUAUGUAAUCUCCCCCUAUGUUUUCCAUUGUUUGUCCAGUUUUCGUUUUAUUUAAGUCUGAUUGCUUAACCUUAAGUAUGAGCAGUAGUAAGGCUUGCAUUAACAACCACCACUAAGUAUACUUUCGUAUUCGUUCUUUCUGAGCUGAACAAAGACCGUAGGGUCUAUGUCUUUCUUUGUUUAGCUGUAUAAAUCUUUCAGAGAAAUAAAACUCUGCGAGGCUCCUUCUCUGAUUUACGUGCAACAACAUUGGCUUGCACUUCAUUCAGUGUUUUCUCAGAGCGCUGAACCUUUUCAGCCGAGUGCAGCACGUUUGAUGUAAGUGUGGCAGACAGUCACUCCCCGUUCCUCUCUGCUCAUGUUUUACGAGCUCUGACUAUGAAACCAAAGGCUGGACUGCCCAAUAGGAAACAGUCUCCCAAUGGGAUCAUAGAUGGCCUUGAAUGAGAGUAGUGGAAGAGACUAAGUCUUUUUCUGACAUGGUAUACAUGACACUAAAAAAUGAAUCUGGAGGUGUGUAUGUACGUACAUGUAUUUCUCUGAAUUUUUUUCAUGUGCUUGGUGAGGAAUAGCAUUUUUU